CAGAGGGAGGCAAUACCGCGAGGUGGAGCAAAUCCUAAAAGCCAUCUCAGUUCGGAUCGCAGGCUGCAACCCGCCUGCGUGAAGUUGGAAUCGCUAGUAAUCGCGGAUCAGCAUGCCGCGGUGAAUACGUUCCCGGGCCUUGUACACACCGCCCGUCACACCAUGAGAGUCGGGAACACCCGAAGUCCGUAGCCUAACCGCAAGGGGGCGCGGCCGAAGGUGGGUUCGAUAAUUGGGUGAAGUCGUAACAAGGUAAC
rnacentral:rRNA from 1 species